rfam:Ipomoea nil DNA, scaffold: scaffold2568, cultivar: Tokyo-kokei standard.
GGUCCAGGCGGCGCAUUACCCGGCUCGCGAGUUUAAGCAUAUCAAUACGCGUGAAGGAACAGAGUAGACUUCACAAGCGAUUCCCUAGUAACGCGCGAGCGAACCGAACAGCCCAGCCUUAGUAAUCGGCACGGCCCCGCCGUUUCGAAUUGUUAGUUUCUAGCUUCGAGAAAGGCGUCUCAGCGCGUGACCGGGCCCAAGCUCCCUGGAAAAGGGGCGUCGGAGAGGGUGCAGAGCCCCCGUCGUGCCCCGACCCUGUCGCCACCACGUAGCGCUGCCUCUACGUGUAGUCGGACGUUGUUGGGAAUGCCAGCCCCAAUUUUUUUUCGGGGCGCGGUGACUGAAUUCCGCCUCAAGCCUAAAUGAGCGCGGCGAUGAGACCGAUAGGCGAAACAAGCUUACCGCGAGGUAAGAGCGAUGACAUAAUAGCGACUUUUGAAAAGAGACGGUCACAGAGUGCGCCUUGAUAAUUUGUUCGGUCCCGAACUGGCAAGGCGGGCAUGAGGGAGGACCGGCCGCAUGCGCUCCCGGUAGUAAUAGUGCGAACGCGUGCAGAGCCGGUCCGGCGGAUCUACUCGGGGGCCGCGGACCAGCGCAAGGCAUUCGGGGCGGCGGCCAAAAGCCCGGCCUUUGAUCACGCCCGCGGCAACGUCGUCGUCUUGGAUCGUGGGAAGCAGCGCGCGCCCUAUGGCGUGCCUCGGGCAACCUGCGCUGCGCUCUUGUCGGGUCUCUGCCUCUCUAUUUCCGACCCGUCCUGAAACACGGACCAAAGGUGUCACAUGUGUGCGAUGGCCAACUCGGUAAUAAUGAUUUGCGCUCCGGGGUGCGGCUGGCCGAGUGAACCCGUAAGGCCGCAAGGAAGCUGAUUGGCGCGGAGUCCCCUUCACGCGGGCCGCUGCACCGUCGCGACCGACCUUGCAUCUUCUUGUAGAAGCCGGUUCGAGUGGCGAGCACUACCUGAUUCGGACCCGAGAUUGGUGAACUAUGCCUGAGCGCAGGGCGAAGCCAGAGGAAACUCUGGCUGCGAGGCCGCACGCCGAUACUGACGUGCAACAUCGUUCGUUCUGACUUGGGUUAUUAGGCGCGCCGAAAGCACUAAUCGAACCGUCUAGUAGCUGGCUUCACUCCGAAGUUUCCCUCAGGAUAAGCUGGAGCCUGGCGCGCAGAGUUCUAUCGGGGUAAAAGCCCACAUGAUUAAAGAGGCCAUCGGGGAGCGUAACGCCCCUCGACCUAUUCUCAACUUAUCAAAUAGGUAGGAGCGGCGCGGCUCUGCUCGUUGAGCGCCGCCACGGAAUCAACAGCCCUCCACAGUGGCCCCAUUUUUGGUAAGCAGAACUGCGAUGCGGGAUGAACCGGCAAAGCCGGGUUACGGUGCCCAACUGCGCGCCUAACCUUAGAUUCCCACAAAGGGCUGUUGGUCGAUUAUUAAGACAGCAGGACGGUGCGUCAUGCGAGUCGAAAUCGCUAUAGGAGUGUGUUCCACGAUUGUAAACGAACUCACCUGCCGGAAUCAACUAGCCCCGAAAAUGGAUGGCGCUAAGCGCGCGACCUGAUACCCCGGCGUCGGGGCAAGGAGCUACGGCCCCGAAUUGAGUAGGUGAGGCCGCGGCCCGGUCGCUGCAAAACUUGGUGACCGCCGGCAGCCCGGGGCGGAAAUGCGUCGCUGUCCUGCCCAAGAGUGCAGAUCCUUGGUUUUAGCCUAGUAAGCAAACUAUGUCAAAUGUAGAACUCUUGAAGGCCGCAAGGCCAGGUUGGAAAUCCCCUGCGUUCCAUGUUGUAACGGACACCGUUGCACAUGGGUUAGCGAUCCUAAGGGAAUACAGGCGGGAGCCCCGACAGACCAGGCGCGUUUUGCGCGUGCGCGAAAGGAGAAUCGGCCCACCCUCGCCUGUUUAAAAUUCCGAACCGGGACGUUGGAGCGGUUUGACAGCAACGUUUAGCGGGAUUCCUAUGGGACCGACGUCAGCGGCAAGGGUUAAGCGCAAGCUCACUUAUGGGCCGGUAACGAUUUAAGUCUUUUCUGCUUCAAACAAAGCCUGCCCACCCGUAGCACACGGACCUCAAGCCGGAAGCGCACUCAGGGCUCCAGCGGUGUGCGCGAAGAACAACCACACGUCGCGUAUGUGCCGUGUCCGCUCGUGCCGCCCGGCGGCCUUGAAAAUCCGCGAGCGAGCGAGUGCCGGUUCCACGCGGCCGCGUCGCACCUACUCAUAACCGGCAUCAGGGUCUGCCAUAGGUGAACAGCCUCUGGCCAAUGCGAAAUCAAUGCAGGCCCAAAGGGAACUGGAAGCUCUCGCGCAAAAGUGGAUCCGCCUAACUUCGCGGAAAAGGAUGGCUCUGCAGGGCUGCGGCACGGGGGGUCCAGCUCCGAACCCGUCGGCUGUUCGGAGCCGACCUGCUCGAGCUGCUACCGCGGAGAGCGGGCCGUCGCCGCGUGCCGGCCGGGGGACGGACUGGGAACGGCUCUUUCGGGCCUUCCCGGGGUCCAACAGGCCAACUCAGAAACUGGCUACGGACAAGGGGGAAUGCCGACUGUGUUUUAAUUAAAACAAAGCAUUGCGAUGCGUCCCUGCCGUGUGAUGCUGAUUUACGCAAUGUGAUUUUUCUGCCUCAAGAUUUGCUGCUGAAUGGUCAUAAGGUGAAGAAAUUCAACCAAAGCGGGGGUAAACGGCGGGAGUAAAACUAUGAACUCGUCUAGGCGUAGCCAAAUGCCUCGUCGAUCUAAUUUAGGCUGUUGCCCACAAGCGCUAAAUAUGAAUUGGAUUCCCUAUUAAAUCGAGGCAGUUUCCCACUGUGUCCCUGUCUACUGUAUUCCAGCGAAAACUCACAGCACAACUGGGAACGGCGCUUUGACAUGAAACAUCAGGAGCGGGGCUAAAGAAAUGUGACCUCCUGUUGAGCCUUUCGACUCUAGUCCGACUUUGUGAAAUGCCUUGAUAUGAGGUGCUUUAGGAGUAACGUGCCUGGCAGCCGAAAGGCGAAAGUGAGAAUUACCAUACUACUUUCUUAACGUUAUUUUACAUUAUUCUCCGUGAUUGCGGAGCCGGGGCAUUGCCCCUCUUUUUUUGACCACAGGCUCGCUUGCCGGGCCGAUCCGGGCGCAAGACAUUGUCAGUGGGGAGUUUUGGCUGGGGGGGACAACAGUACUGUUAAAGAUAACGACAGGAUAAUAGGACACGUUGUCGUUCACAGAGAUUAAGUAGCUCCCUCAACGGGUGCACAGAAAUCUCCGUGUGGAACAGAAGCGGUACUAAAGCUCGUUUGAUCUAUGAUUUCCAGCUACGAAUUUACGAACCUGUGAAAGCGGUGUUGGGGCUUCCACUACAACGUAUCUCUUUAUUACCUCUCGCGAAUUCGCAAGCUAGAGUGUGAGCAUGGUAUACUGUCAUAAAAGUUACCCACAGGGCAUAACUGGGCUCUAGUUGGAGGUAGCCAAGCCUUCAUAGCCCGACUGUUGCUUUUCUGUGAUUCCUUCUCAUGGUCGCGCUCUUCCUAUCAUAUGUGAAGCAGAAUUCACCAAGUGUUGGAUGCUUCACCCACCAAUAACAUGGGGAACGUGAGGCUGGGUAUUAGACCGUCGCUGAGACAGGGUUACGUUUACUCCCUUACAACUUGUCUGAGACAGUAGUCACUUGUCGCAAUCAAGCUAGAUUCAACCUAAGUACGCAGAGAAACCCGCUUGAUUUCGCCACAAUUGUUCAUGUCGCGCUUUUUUGGGAUUGAAAAGCCGAGUGGGCGCGAAGCUACGCUUGCGUGUGGAUGUAUGACUGAAGCGCCUCUAAGUCAGAAUCCGCGGCUAGACGACGCCAUGCGCUCGUCGCCUCGUUUGCGACCGCCAUAGGGGUCAUUUGGCCCCAAGGCGGCACGUGUCGUUGGCUAACGCCGUCGUGGUCGAAGAAACGUUAGGUCACGGUGGCGGCCGCCUUGAAUUACAAUUCCGAUGUCGAAGCGGCGAGCUGAAUCCUUUGCAGACGCUUAAAUAAAUGAUUCCU